UACAGAGGUCUCAAGCGUUGUUCGGAUUCAUUGGGCGUAAAGGGUGCGUAGGCGGCGCGGUAAGUCGGGUGUGAAAUCUCGGAGCUUAACUCCGAAACUGCAUUCGAUACUGCCGUGCUUGAGGACUGGAGAGGAGACUGGAAUUUACGGUGUAGCGGUGAAAUGCGUAGAUAUCGUAAGGAAGACCAGUGGCGAAGGCGGGUCUCUGGGACGGUACUGACGCUGAGACGCGAAAAGCGUGGGGGAGCGAACAGG
rnacentral:rRNA from 1 species